UUAAAGAUAAGCUAAUUAAGCUAAUGGGCUCAUACCCCGUAAAUGAAAGUCCAACCUUUCUCUUUUUA
rnacentral:tRNA from 1 species